GCGACAGUAGCUCAGCUGGAUAGAGCAUCGGCCUUCUAAGCCGAGGGUCGGGGGUUCGAGCCCCUCCUGUCGCGCCA
rnacentral:tRNA from 16 species